AAUCCAAAGCACCUGCAGCCCUAGUAAAGCAGGCUCUUUGUGAUGAGCAUCUGGUGGGUGUGAAGGUUUAGAGUCCUCUGACGGGCCUGCCCAGCUUCUGAGGAUAGCCAAGCUGCCAGCUGCACUGCACAGAGGGGUAUUUAUGUUUUCCUCUGGCAACACAGAUGAGCUGGUCAUGAAACACCUACAGAUGACAUCCUGAAACUGUCUAGCCUUGAAAAUGGCUGUAAACUCCAUACCUUGACGAUUUUCAGUGCCGCUUUCCAGAACAUUCAAUUGGAUGCUCCAGGAAGAGUCAUGUAAUAGUGAGGAUCUUCAGGGAGCUGCAUGUCAGCUGUCUCAUUUUGGAAGAAAACUGAUUUCAGGACAUGAGCAAAAGAUUAGAUCACCUAAUUAAACAGUAGACUGAUAACAGUAGAAAUGUUUUGCUCCACUGUGAGUUGGUAGGAUGCUGUGAGCUUUGAAAGUAACACUGAGCAUUUAUAUAGAAUUUGUUUAAGUUUGAACUGUGGCCUGGCAGAAUGAACAGGAGGAUGUGACUAGUAUGGCUUUGGUAUGGCUUUGUCUUUGGGCACAAAGAGGUGUUUUCCAGAACAGUACUCAGAAUCCUUAAUCUUUCUGUAAAAGAUUACUUAAGCCAGUGAUCUCUAUGUAUAUUGACUUCUAAAUGAAGCCUGAUUUCUAAGUGCUUGAAGGCCAGUUUUGCAAAGGAAUUCAGAUGCUGAUUUGAAGUUCAGGAAUAUGUCACUGACCACAGUGGCUAUUUUCUGUGGAUUUCAUAUUCUAGAAAAGAAAAACCAGCCACCCUUAGCUUGCUUGUUUGGACAUCCUUACCUUUUUAAUCUGUGCAUUUUAAGAGGCACACUGAGUAAAAGAUACUUCAAAGACCUCAUUAUUCUAUGUUUGUCAGCUUUGGACAACAUUUGCCAUUAGCUUCUGAAUAACCUAAGUCUUUCUAUAACUGACUGGAGCAUUCCUCAUUCACUGUUCACAAUCAAUUUAUAAGCACUUCUUAAUUUGCCUCCUUGUUCUAAUGCUUUUUGUAUACUUGAAUGACUUUCUCCCUCUUUUCUGCUCCCUGCAAUAUUGCAGAUAUUUACUGCUGACCUUGAAUUAGUGUGGUAUUUUUAUUUAAAACAAUCUUUCAAUUGAGAAUCUGUGCAAUCUUCACUGUAUUGUUGUACAACUAAGUGAUACGUGGCUGCUCCAGAAAUUAAGUUUUCUGCCUCCGAACCGUUGAUGUCUGAGGCAGAAAUAAAGUAGCAUGCUUCUUUCUGGGCACUGUGCUGCUGGCUUCCUUCUAGUACUUUCACAGCACCUGAGGUUUUGCAUAUAUGUGGUGUUACUGUCAAUUGCAUUAGGAAUAGGAUACGUUACUUGAGCUAAACAGAGACAAACCUCUGUUCCACAGAACUGGGGAUGAAGUGAAGGGCUGAAGGUAACAAGAGAUUGAGACAGGAGGUAGAAGAAGUGCUGAGGACAGCGAAGCCAAAAGGCAGAACUGGCAGCUUUUCAGCUGCCUUUAGCUGAUUAAUUAACAGGAUGGCAGUGAUUUGCACCUAUUAUAGCAGAAUACUUUCCAUGAUUUCCUUAUUUCUGUUAGCAUAAAUUCUAUUGAAGGAGCUAAUCAUGACUCUCCAGAAGCAGGACACCCUGCUUGAUAGUAUUUAUUAUAGAGUUAUUUCUGAUUAUUUUGUACAGGGUUUUUACUUGUAAAAUUGCACAGCAAAAACUCCAUCAGAAGGAGCAAAACCAAAAAUCAGUAUUUUUUUUAUUUUUUUAAAAACAAGAU
ensembl:lncRNA